rnacentral:rRNA from 1 species
AUACGGAGGGUGCAAGCGUUGUUCGGAAUUAUUGGGCGUAAAGCGCGUGUAGGCGGUUGGUCAAGUCUGAUGUGAAAGCCCUGGGCUCAACCCGGGAAGCGCAUUGGAAACUGGCUAACUUGAGUACGGGAGAGGGUAGUGGAAUUUCGAGUGUAGGGGUGAAAUCCGUAGAUAUUCGAAGGAACACCGGUGGCGAAGGCGGCUACCUGGACCGAUACUGACGCUGAGACGCGAAAGCGUGGGGAGC